rnacentral:rRNA from 1 species
AUUGAACGCUGGCGGCAUGCCUUACACAUGCAAGUCGAACGGCAGCGGACCUUCGGGUGCCGGCGAGUGGCGAACGGGUGAGUAAUAUAUCGGAACGUACCUUUCAGUGGGGGAUAACGUAGCGAAAGUUACGCUAAUACCGCAUAUUCUGUGAGCAGGAAAGCAGGGGAUCGCAAGACCUUGCGCUGAUUGAGCGGCCGAUAUCAGAUUAGCUAGUUGGUGAGGUAAAGGCUCACCAAGGCGACGAUCUGUAGCGGGUCUGAGAGGAUGAUCCGCCACACUGGAACUGAGACACGGUCCAGACUCCUACGGGAGGCAGCAGUGGGGAAUUUUGGACAAUGGGCGCAAGCCUGAUCCAGCCAUGCCGCGUGUAGGAUGAAGGCCUCGGUUGUAAC